AUUGAACGCUGGCGGCAGGCCUAACACAUGCAAGUCGAACGAGUGGCGGACGGGUGAGUAAUGUCUGGGAAACUGCCUGAUGGAGGGGGAUAACUACUGGAAACGGUAGCUAAUACCGCAUACCAUCCGAUGUUGCCAGAUGGGAUUAGCUAGUAGGUGGGGUAACGGCUCACCAAGGCGACGAUCCCUAGCUGGUCUGAGAGGAUGAACAGCAACACUGGAACUGAGACACGGUCCAGACUCCUAGGGGAGGCAGCAGUGGGGAAUAUUGCACAAUGGGCGCAAGCCUGAUGCAGCCAUGCCGCGUGUAUGAAGAAGGCCUUCGGGUUGUAAAGCACUUUCAGCGAGGAGGCGUUACCCGCAGAAGAAGCACCGGCUAACUCCGUGCCAGCCGCCGCGGUAAUAC
rnacentral:rRNA from 1 species